UAUUGGACAAUGGGGGAAACCCUUAUCCAGCGACGCCGCGUGAGGGAAGAAGGUUUUCGGAUUGUAAACCUCUGUCAGCAGGGAAGAAGAUGACGGUACCUGACUAAGAAGCUCCGGCUAAAUACGUGCCAGCAGCCGCGGUAAUACGUAUGGAGCAAGCGUUAUCCGGAUUUACUGGGUGUAAAGGGAGCGUAGGCGGCCUGGCAAGUCUGGUGUGAAAUACCGGGGCCCAACCCCGGGACUGCAUUGGAAACUGCCAGGCUGGAGUGUCGGAGGGGCAGGCGGAAUUCCUAGUGUAGCGGUGAAAUGCGUAGAUAUUAGGAGGAACACCGGUGGCGAAGGCGGCCUGCUGGACGACAACUGACGCUGAGGCUCGAAAGCGUGGGGAGCAAACAGG
rnacentral:rRNA from 1 species